UAUAGCUAUUAUCAUUUGGUCCCAAACCCAGCCUAGCCCGGCCCAUGAUCACCCCCUCAGUACUUCGUUGUUCUCAGUUCACGUACUUGUGAGAGUAGGAACCCAGAAACCUCAAAGCUGAAACCCUAACUCCAGUCUACUCGUCUCCUUUGAUUUUACCUUUCACAUCUCAUCGCAUUCCUCUUUCUCAUCUCCAUUUGUAUUCGGUAAGAGUCCGUUGCUACUGUAAGCCAGAAAUGUGAAGAUGAAAUCUAUUUUUCACAAUCCAAGAAUGCUGCUGCCAACGGCCUAACACCGAAGUAGCCUAUAGCGGUGUAGCCAAGAAGGAGGGUGAGGCUCACCCAAAAGAAGAAGCUGGAAGACCCAUUCCGCGCUUGUUCGAGCUCCUUAGUCUGCAACCACUCUAAAUCCACUCUAAUUAAGAGGAAGCAACCUCAACUGUUCUAGAAUCAAGAGCCCAAGAAGAUUUUUCUGUUGGCGACCUUCAAUAGACUCCUCGUCUUCCCCCGGAUCAACCAUGGGAGAAGUUGGAGCUCAAAUAUUCGAAGCUUAGUUAAUGUGGUUGUUGCUGAGAUCCAUCCCGCUUGGGCGAAAGAAGAGAAUGCUCAAGAUCAGCCCUUUUUUCUUUCAAAGGGGGUUAGACAGUUUCUCGACAGUGUCGAUAGGGUUAGGAUUGGGGUUUCUAGUGCAUCAGUAGUAGGAACAAAUGAUGAUGUAAGCACGGAGACUUGUAAAUCCUAUGCACCACUAAACUGCAAAAAAAAAACAUUUUGGUGCUAGAGUUACUGAGGUUGUUUGGAAGACCUCAAAAGUUGGCCAUGUUCGAAAUGCAAUCCUUGCCAAGCCAAAAAUUGGUGCCAAACCUGUUCCUUCCCAUCCAGCUGAAUAUAACAGGUUGAUGAACGCCUUCAGUCGGGCUGGUAAUGUCAAUGAAGUUCUUUGACUCUUGCGUGAUAUGAAAGAAGCACAAUGCCAUCCCAAUGUUCUAUGCCAUAACACUGUUCUUAAUAACUCUGCAUUUUGAUGCCUUAAGGGCAUCAAUUCAGGGGUAUUUUCUGCCUUAGAAUAGUCAAGAUGUGUCUUUUUCCUAGUUAAAUGCAAUGCUUUGGCCUCUAAGGGUCUCUGUGCAAAUUCUAGGGAAAAUUGUAAAGUUUUCAUGGCUGAAAUGCAGAUUUUGGGA